rnacentral:rRNA from 1 species
AACGAACGCUGGCGGCAGGCUUAACACAUGCAAGUCGAGCGCCCCGCAAGGGGAGCGGCAGACGGGUGAGUAACGCGUGGGAAUCUACCCAUCUCUACGGAAUAACGCAUGGAAACGUGUGCUAAUACCGUAUACGUCCUUCGGGAGAAAGAUUUAUCGGAGAUGGAUGAGCCCGCGUUGGAUUAGCUAGUUGGUGGGGUAAAGGCCUACCAAGGCGACGAUCAAUAGCUGGUCUGAGAGGACGAUCAGCCACACUGGGACUGAGACACGGCCCAGACUCCUACGGGAGGCAGCAGUGGGGAAUAUUGGACAAUGGGCGCAAGCCUGAUCCAGCCAUGCCGCGUGAGUGAUGAAGGCCCUAGGGUUGUAAAGCUCUUUCACCGGUGAAGAUAAUGACGGUAACCGGAGAAGAAGCCCCGGCUAACUUCGUGCCAGCAGCCGCCGUAACAC